GGCUCACUGGGACUGAGACACUGCCCAGACACCUACGGGUGGCUGCAGUCGAGAAUCUUCCGCAAUGGGCGCAAGCCUGACGGAGCGACGCCGCGUGCGGGAUGAAGGCCUUCGGGUUGUAAACCGCUGUCAGUGGGGAGGAAAUGCAUGAGGGUUCUCUCUCAUGUUUGACCGAUCCGCAGAGGAAGUGCAGGCUAAGUUCGUGCCAGCAGCCGCGGUAACACGAACUGCACAAACGUUAUUCGGAAUCACUGGGCUUAAAGAGUUCGUAGGCGGCCAGGUCAGUCGGGUGUGAAAUCCCUCGGCUCAACCGAGGAACUGCGCCCGAUACUGCUUGGCUUGAGGGAGUCAGAGGUGAGCGGAACUGAUGUGGAGCGGUGAAAUGCGUUGAUAUCAUCAGGAACACCGGUGGCGAAAGCGGCUCACUGGGGCUUUUCUGACGCUGAGGAACGAAAGCUAGGGGAGCGAACGGGAUUAGAUACCCCGGUAGUCCUAGCCGUAAACGAUGAGCACUGGGUCGAGGGGACCUCCACAUCCUCUCGGCCGUAGCGAAAGCGUUAAGUGCUCCGCCUGGGGAGUAUGUUCGCAAGGCUGAAACUCAAAGGAAUUGACGGGGGCUCACACAAGCGGUGGAGGAUGUGGCUUAAUUCGAGUCUACGCGAAGAACCUUAUCCUGGUCUUGACAUGCUUGGGAAUCCUGCCGAAAGGCAGGAGUGCACUUCGGUGAACCCUUGCACAGGUGCUGCAUGGCUGUCGUCAGCUCGUGUCGUGAGAUGUCGGGUUAAGUCCCUUAACGAGCGAAACCCUUGUCCCUAGUUGCCAGCGGGUCAUGCCGGGGACUCUAGGGAGACUGCCGGUGUUAAACCGGAGGAAGGUGGGGAUGACGUCAAGUCCUCAUGGCCUUUAUGGCCAGGGCUGCACACGUCCUACAAUGCGCCGUACAAUGGGAUGCGAAGUCGCGAGGCCAAGCAAAUCCCUAAAAGCGGCGCUCAGUUCGGAUUGGAGGCUGCAACUCGCCUCCAUGAAGCUGGAAUCGCUAGUAAUCGCGGGUCAGCAUACCGCGGUGAAUGUGUUCCUGAGCCUUGUACACACCGCCCGUCAAGCCACGAAAGUGGGGGGUACCCGUAGUCGCCGAGCUAACCCGCAAGGGAGGCAGGCGCCGAAGGUAAACUCCGCGAUUGGGACUAAGUCGUAACAAGGUA
rnacentral:rRNA from 1 species